ACAGCAGCAGCCGCGGGAAUACGUAGGGUGCGAGCGUUAAUCGGAAUUACUGGGCGUAAAGCGCACGUAGGCGGCUUUGUAAGUUAGAGGUGAAAGCCUGGAGCUCAACUCCAGAAUUGCCUUUAAGACUGCAUCGCUUGAAUCCAGGAGAGGUGAGUGGAAUUCCGAGUGUAGAGGUGAAAUUCGUAGAUAUUCGGAAGAACACCAGUGGCGAAGGCGGCUCACUGGACUGGUAUUGACGCUGAGGUGCGAAAGCGUGGGGAGCAAACAGGAUUAGAUACCCCAGUAGUCCCUGUCUCUUAUAC
rnacentral:rRNA from 1 species